rnacentral:rRNA from 1 species
GACGAACGCUGGCGGCGUGCUUAACACAUGCAAGUCGAACGGAAAGGCCCUGCUUUUGUGGGGUGCUCGAGUGGCGAACGGGUGAGUAACACGUGAGUAACCUGCCCUUGACUUUGGGAUAACUUCAGGAAACUGGGGCUAAUACCGGAUAGGAGCUCCUGCUGCAUGGUGGGGGUUGGAAAGUUUCGGCGGUUGGGGAUGGACUCGCGGCUUAUCAGCUUGUUGGUGGGGUAGUGGCUUACCAAGGCUUUGACGGGUAGCCGGCCUGAGAGGGUGACCGGCCACAUGGGGACUGAGAGACGGCACAGAAUCCUACGGGAGGCAGCAGUGGGGAAUAUUGCACAAUGGGCGGAAGCCUGAUGCAGAAACGCCGCGUGCGGGAUGACGGCCUUCGGGUUGUAAACCGAUUUCGCCUGUGACGAAGCGUGGGUGACGGUAAUGGGUAAAGAAGCACCGGCUAACUACGUG